UACGUAGGGGGCAAGCGUUGUCCGGAAUCAUUGGGCGUAAAGCGCGUGUAGGCGGCCCGAUAAGUCCGCUGUGAAAGUCCAGGGCUCAACCCUGGAAUGCCGGUGGAUACUGUCGGGCUCGAGUCCGGAAGAGGCGAGUGGAAUUCCUGGUGUAGCGGUGAAAUGCGCAGAUAUCAGGAGGAACACCAAUGGCGAAGGCAGCUCGCUGGGACGGUACUGACGCUGAGGCGCGAAAGCGUGGGGAGCGAACAGG
rnacentral:rRNA from 1 species